CUACGGGGGGCAGCAGUGAGGAAUAUUGCACAAUGGGGGAAACCCUGAUGCAGCAACGCCGCGUGGAGGAUGACGCAUUUCGGUGUGUAAACUCCUUUUAUAUGUCAAGAAAAUGACGGUAGCAUAUGAAUAAGCACCGGCUAACUCCGUGCCAGCAGCCGCGGUAAUACGGAGGGUGCAAGCGUUAUUCGGAAUCACUGGGCGUAAAGGACGCGUAGGCGGGUUUUCAAGUCAGGUGUGAAAUCCUAUGGCUCAACCAUAGAACUGCACUUGAAACUGUAAACCUAGAGUAUGGAAGGGGCAGAUGGAAUUAGUGGUGUAGGGGUAAAAUCCGUAGAUAUCACUAGGAAUACCAAAAGCGAAGGCGAUCUGCUGGGACAUUACUGACGCUAAGGCGUGAAAGCGUGGGGAGCAAACAGGAUUAGAUACCCCCGUAGUC
rnacentral:rRNA from 1 species